UCUAUGCAUUUGCUGAAACGUCAUUAUAUUGGCAGCAACUAUCUCUUAGUAACAACAAGGUGAUAUUGGGCUAGCAACUUGAUGCAACGUCACUUACUAAUUAUGGAAGCUAUGUGAUUCAUUUUUUUGUAAGAUAACAACGUGAUUUACAUCUCGGAAGGUUCAUAUGGAUCGUGAAAUCCUUCUCUUCCUCCUUGUUGUUGAUUUGGAAAGUUACUGCAAGAUUUGAGCAGGUUGGAAUUGGUGUUGUUGUAGGUGAUUUGAGGUUGAAGUGAUAAUUGAGGCGAGUUUGUUGUUGGUUUCUAUUGAUGACACGAGGUCCUGAGAUACAAGUUGGUGAUCCAUCUAUUAGGAUGUCAGCUCAGCGGAUGCGGGUGAUGCACUCCAUUUGUUCCGGAGGUGCCAGAAGUCAGCAUGGUCUCAUGUAUAUCUAGAUAUGUAUGCACGUAUGUAUGGGUAUAACAGGGCCCUAUCCCAGCCAUGUUAUGUUAUGUUUUCCAGUAGAGGCUUGUAGGCAGUCAGGUACAGUCAGAUGAUGUCCAGACUUGAGAUUUCAUAUGUCAUCACAGGUGCUUAUGAUAGCCUUGUCGGCUUAUACAGUAUGUCCAUCAUGUUCAUACAGAUGAGUCUUUCAGAUUAGUUGGUACGUGCAUGUACCUUAUGAGUUUAUUGAGAGUCAUAUGAUGGCCCUCUCGGCCCACCUAUAUUUAUGUUGGCGUCACAGAUACAUGUCAGAUGAUGCUUGACUAGUACAGUCAGGUGCCCAUGUUGGCCCUUUAGCUUUGUUCGUGACAGUUUGUUAGUAGUUAGCUUUGAUUCUACACAGAGUUUGUUUAACUAAAUACAAAUGAUGCGCUUAAAUUUAGUUCUUAUAGAAUGUUUCCAUGUCCAGCUGGCUUCUUGUAAGCAAACAAUCUAAGUGUGCAAUGGUUGGUUCUUCCUCGGUUUCCCUUUUAGUCGUUGAAGUUUGGUUUUAACUUUACUCAUGUGUCUUUGUUCUGGAAAUUGAAUCGAGGUGAAUAAGCAGCCAAAUAUUAGUUUUGCCCAGUGCACUUUACUUGUUCAUUAAGUGUUAUAGGUUGUUAUAGAUCGGAACCUUCAUUGAAGUCCUUAAAAAAGGAACUAUCAUGCUUUAGAUAAGUUAGCUUAUACUUACUAUGUUGAGAAUAACACAUGCCUUGGCUAGUUUUUUCUUUUCUAUUUUGACGAGAUGAUUUAAAUGAUUUAGUUAAGCGCGUUCUUAUGCUUCAUUUCUGGGCGAGUUUAAUUGGUGCGAGAAGAUGUUUUCUUUGUUUUAACCUUGGCUGAAAAGGGCCUCGACUAAGCCCUUAACUUUGCAGAAUUUUCUUUCUUUUUUGUUUGUUAACUCUCUGUUUUGGGAAAUCCAUUGGCUUUGAGUCAUUUCUGUUUUAAAUACCAGCAGUGCGUAUCUAGCGUUUAAAAAUAUGUUAUGAGUUGAAUGUUUAUGUCUUUGUGUAUAAUUCGCCAGUAAAAUAUCUAACUUAGGUUUUGUUUGAUUCCUUUUUUAAAAGUAUAUUGGUAGGUGUGUGUACGAACUAUUUUGAGAAUACAUACUAAUCAUAUUAACAUUAAUAGAUCACUAAUCCUUACCUUCUUGUUUUUUUUUUUGGCAUACGAACUUCCAAAUGAGUCCAUUGGACUUCAACCAUUCUUGUGUCGGGCCAGGCCCAACAAAAAUGUUAGAAUUUUCAUCGAGUCAGCCUGAUCGCAAGGGCCAGCAGCCCAAUAACAUUCACAACAGCAGAGGAAUGGAGAAGACGAGAAUGGAAGCAAAGCCCCAAUUAGUCAACUCUAUCCUUACCUUUAUUUCAUUUCUUUAUGUGUUUGUGCUUGUAAAAAAUUACUAACUGUUUUACUUUGUUUUAUUUUUUCUUAAUAUAGAUGAAUCCUGAAAGCAGAGUAUGUACUAUUUGUAGUCGCAAAAGUGCAAAAAAAAUUUUUUUACAGAAACCUCAACAGAGCUAAAUGAUUUUCAAUAAGGCAAGCAAUUUCUAGAAUUUAAUAUGGCAUGUAUGAAUCUUUGAAGUUUAGAUUUUUAUAUAA